GAUGAAGAACGCAGCGAAAUGCGAUACGUAAUGUGAAUUGCAGAAUUCAGUGAAUCAUCGAAUCUUUGAACGCAUAUUGCGCUCUUUGGUAUUCCGAAGAGCAUGCUUGUUUGAGUAUCAGUAAACACCUCAAAGCUUUUGGAUUUUUUAAUCGAAAAGCUUUGGACUUGAGCAAUCCCAACACCAAUCUUUUUGAGAUCGGUGGCGGGUUGCUUGAAAUGCAGGUGCAGCUGGACAUUCUCCUUAGAUAAAAGCAUAUUCAUUUAGUCCCGUCAAACGGAUUAUUACUUUUGCUGCAGCUAACAUAAAGGGAGUUUGACCGUAUUGGCUGACUGAUGCAGGAUUUCACAAGGGUCGGCAACGAUUCUUGUUAAACUCGAUCUCAAAUCAAGUAAGACUACCCGCUGAACUUAAGCAUAUCAAUAAGCGGAGGA
rnacentral:misc_RNA from 1 species